rnacentral:rRNA from 1 species
GGUAACACCAGCGCCACAAGUGGCAAUCGUGAUUAUUGGGCCUAAAGCGUUCGUAGCCGGUUUAAUAAAUCUUUUGUGAAAUCGUCNAGCUUAACUUGACGGAUUGCAGAAGACACUGUUGAACUAGGGACCGGGAGGGGUCUAAAGGUAUUCUUGGGGGACCGGUAAAAUGGUAUAAUCCCCAGAAGACCACCUAUGGCGAAGGCGCCUAGCCAGAACGGAUCUGACUGUGAGGGACGAAAGCUAGGGGAGCGAUCCGGAUUAGAUACCCGAGUAGUCCUAGCCGUAAACUCUGCGAGUUAGGUGUUGCACAUACUACGAGUAUGUGCAGUGUCGAAAGGAAGGCAUUAAACUCGCCGCCUGGGAAGUACGGUCGCAAGACUGAAACUUUAAGGAAUUGGCG